rnacentral:rRNA from 1 species
AACGGAGGGUGCAAGCGUUGUUCGGAAUUACUGGGCGUAAAGCGCGUGCAGGUGGUUUUUUAAGUUUCGUGUGAAAGCCCACGGCUCAACCGUGGAAUGGCACGGAAAACUGGAAAACUUGAGUACGGGAGAAGAGGGCGGAAUUCCCAGUGUAGAGGUGAAAUUCGUAGAUAUUGGGAGGAACACCGGUGGCGAAAGCGGCUCUCUAGACCGAUACUGACACUCAUACGCGAGAGCGUGGGUAGCAAACAGG